GAUUUGUUGAGAGCUCAUUCAUAUCCUCUAAUGUGAACUUCUUUAUAACCAAUUUUAAUGAACUAUGCAGUAGAAUCUGAUGUGAGUAUCAAAAGGAACAGAGAAGUUAUACUUCAGUGUAGGAAGAGAGAAUGUCAGCCCACUGCCUUAACUCAGUUGGCAUUUUGAAGAAAAUUGACAGAGCCCACCUCCAGAUUUUAUUGGGGUGGGGGAAAGAAGAGAAAAUGGAAGAUAUGUUUUAAACCACUUUUGGCAGGAAAAGUCAUUUCCCUAUUUAGAGUCUGGAAUAAAAAUGUAGUUCCCAUUAAGUAAUUUUUACUUACUUCUGUAUAACCCAAUUAAACACCCCUCAUAUUCCCACUCUCCUGCAGUAACUCAGAUACGACUUAAUCCAAUGUCAUGUGGGCACCGUGCUUCUACGUUUUCGUCUUAACUUUCUAAAUUCCCAAAUUCUUCAUCUCACUAGCUUCAAGUGAAUUUUUCAGUGGGAAAGUACUCUGAAUAAUAUGUAAUAUUUCUUGUGUGUUGCCUUUGUGACAACUUGUUCUAAGCACUUUAUGUGUAUUACUUAUAUUACUAUAACUUCUAUACUAUAAGUUAUUACUAUAACUUCUAUUGUUGGUAUCAUUGUUAUUCUCAUUUAAAGAUGUUUCAGUAGAGGCACAGAAAAGCUGAAUAACUUUUAUUGCUGGUAAGUGUAGGGCCUGAAUUUGAAUCCAGGCAUCUUGCUCUAGAGCCCUAACAUUUUCCAAUCUCAUUAUAAACUGCCUAUAAAAGAAACUUGCUUUUCCAUUCCAGGUUGACAGGCAGGGUGGCAACACAUAUAAAAAGCAUCUUAGGUUCCACUAGUCAAUCUCUUUUUGGAGUAGCUUCCACUGGAAUUCUAUAGGUGUUGAUUCAUUUUUACAUAACCAAUGUCUGUAAACCUGAAGAUCAAAUUCUUAUGGUAGGAAAUAAGACAGUUUUAAAGAUCAAAUUUCCAAGUUCAGGGACCAUGAAAUGUCAAUUGAAAACCAGGAGUAAUGAGCUGUAAAGAUAAAUCAAUACAUGGAAAGACAGGAUGAGUAUUUUAAGCAGCUGAAAUAACUUGUACUUACACAAAAAGGAAGAAAAUAUCUGACCACAUCAGACUGUAUUUUCCUGAGAUCGCUGCAAAAAUCUCUCUCAUUCCACCAGCUCUACUACCAUAAGUUUGGAAAAUAUAAUCUGCCACAUUGACCUAAAUGUUAAAAAAUAAGCAAUAAUUACCAAGUUCCUUACAUCUCCCUUCAUAGGAAAAACUCGGAGUUUAUAAAUUUCAGAAGCUUAACACCCAUAUUGUAAAAUUUCCCUUUCAUAUUAUUGAUGUUGCCAGCACCCUCUUAAUGCCAUUUCUUUUGCUGUGCCAAUUAUUUUUCAAUGACAGUGACAUAAGAAGUAAUGUGCCAUCUGCAUGGCCUUUUACUGCAUUAUGUUCUCCUAGGAUAGUCUUCUAGGGCCUUUGUGACUCCUGCUUCCUGGGAGCCAUUCUAGACUCUUCUCUGAGUGCCAUGCUUCUUCCCCAGCAUCCUACUUCUCCAGCCCCCCUACCAUUCUAGCUGUGUGGGCUACCCCAUCCUGCUAACUGGAAGAUGGAUUUCUAUUAUCAAACAUAAUUUAUUUCAAGGAAGAUAGGGUACCAUUUAGAAACCUAUCUUUUUGGUUAUACUGCAAAUCUCAAUUUGUUGUCUAUUAACUGCCAGGAGUAUACUCAUACUGCAAAUCUCAAUUUGUUGUCUAUUAACUGCCAGGAGUAUACUCAUCUCUCUAAAAGGUUAUUAUUGGGGAAAGGGGUCUUUCCUCUUCAGGUCCACACAGCAGCAGCUCUCUAAUGAAGUUUUGAAAUAUGAGCUGUGAAGGAGCCAGAGGCAGUGAUGGUGCUUUACUGGCCAGCAGUUGUUAGUUUCUCAGUGGUCUAAAGGGAAAUAUCCAAAAACCAACCUGACUUAUGGAGAACUGUGAGAAAAAUACUCUUAACACUUUAAGGUGGCAAUGCCAACAUUCAAUGGCCUCUCCCUCCCCUUUGAGGAAGCUUCCUGGCGCCAGGGUGACAGAAUGAGAUGUAUGAGGUCUGGUUUAGAUGUCUUCCAAGCUGGCCUUUUGUCUGCUAUCCCAGCAUCACAAAAAUAACUUAGGGUGAGAAAUUUACAGGCCAGCAUGUAAAUUCCCUCAUUACUUUAUUAAAUAGUUUGAAAGGAACAUGAUUAAGAAAUUAAAUUCAAUCGAAUGUUACUGUAACUGGUUUUUCAUGAUAAGCGUUUUUCUUAAUGUUAACAGAAGGCUGAUCCUUUGUGUGGAUUGAAUUGUGCCCCCUAUAAGACAUGUCCAAUUGCUAACCCCCAGCACCAGUGAAUGUGAGCUUAUUUGAAAAUAAGGGUUUUGCAGAAAUACUCAAGUUAGCAUGAGGUCAUACUGGAUUAGAAUGGGCCCUAAAUCCAGUGACUGGUGCCCUUAUAACACAAGGAGAGAACACAGAAAGACAUACACAAAAGGCACAUGGAAAUUGGAGUGAUGCAGCUAUAAGCCAAGCAAGGCCAAGGACUAUGAGCAACCCCAGAAACUACACAGAGUUAGGGGAAGGAUUCUUCUAGAGCUUUCAGAGGAGCAUACCCCUGCCAACACCUUGAUUUUGGACUUCUUUUAGUCUCUAGAACAGUGAGGGACUAUAUUUCUGUUGUCAUAAGCCAUCCAGUUUGUGGCAAUUGUUACAGCAGCCCAAAGAAACUAAUGCAGCCCUAUAUAUGAAAAAUAUGGUAAUAACCUUACAUUUUUUUUCAAGGAGAAAUAAAUAUAGUAGCUUAGAACACAGAUUCUGAAACCAAACUUACUGGGUUUAAAUCCCAUCUCUGCCAGUUACUAGCUAUAUGAAAUUGAGCAACUUAACCUCUCUCUUUCUCAAUUCCUUCAUCUUUAAGUGGGGAUAAUAAAAGCGUAUAGAUUAUAGGGUUGUUAUGAGUAUUUUAAAAGUUAAUAUUUGUAUAGAACUUAGAACAGGACCCUGCACAUAUUAAAUGCUAUAUAAGUGCAUAAGUGCUUUUUCAUUUGGUAGGGUCUUUCCAAUAUAUUCCCUCAUAGCCACCCCUGAAAAAUGUUUUUCCACCACAAAAUCUUACCUUUGUUUGCCUAUUACCCCUUCGGUAAUUUCUCUUAACAUUAAACUCUAUCAAACUUAGAGUUAACUAAUCUUGAAACAAAUUUAUGACAUGUUCCUGCUAUUUAAUUAUUGCAAAAAAUAAGCAGAAAUGUAUUUAUUUGUUGAGUGUUUAUCAAGCAUCUACUGCACACCAAUUUUUGUGUUUGAAAAAAAUAAAUUCAUACUCUAUAAUAAUAGAGUCUAUAGUCUAGUGGAAAUAUUGAAUGUUGGAGUAAUUCACUAUAUACAUUCUCCUUUGAUAUGAAUACUUACUUGAAUUACUGGAAGCAGAAACAUUAAAAUUUAUAGAAUUCAACAUUAUUUGAAACUUUGAUUGCAUUUUGUAUUUGCAAACACGUCUUCCAUCUUUUCACAUCCUACACCUUGCAUUUUGCUACUCCUCAGAUCCUGUUUCAGGAGGAUAUGCCACUCUUAUUUACAGAGAGGAACUGGAGUCUUGGCUUAGACCAAAUGUAAAGGAGUCUCCCCUUAUCUGUGGGGUCACUUUUCUGAGUUUUCACUUACCUGUGGUCAACACAAUCCGAAAAUAGGGAGAACAGUACAACAAGAUAUUUUGAGAGAGAACACAUUUAUAUAACUUUAAUUACAGUACAUUGUUAUAAUUUUCUAUUUUCUUCUUUGAUAUUGUUAAUCUCUUACUGUGCUUAAUUUAUAAAUUAAACCUUAUCAUAUGUAUGUACAUUUAGGGAAAACAUGGUGUAUCUAGGGUUCGGUACUACUUGCAGUUUCAGGCAUCCACUGGAGAUCUUAGAAGGUAUCCCCUGUGGAUAAGGGGGGAUUACUAUACUAUCAUUUCUUAUCAGUUUGAUAUUCAAUGGUUUCUCUUUGAGAUGCUAAAAUGUUAAAUGAGUUUUUGCAUAUUAAUUAAGUCUAGCCACACAAAUCAGAAGAAACUAGGAAUGGGACACAUGGAAAUAGGUGACACCUGCCCCAGCUUUCUAUCUGGUAUAUUCCUUAUUUUUAGAUAUGAAAAUAUCUUUUUUUGUGUCAGGACCACUGAUUAGCAAUGACACAAAAAAUUAGAGCUUUUAGUGAUCACUGAAGUUAUUUCAGUAUGCUUUGACUAAGGAUUUGUGUCCCUCCCCAGUGAAUUUGGGGAGGGAUGGUCCCUUCUGUCCGUUUGUUUAAUACCCCACAUUUCUCUGAGAAGUCCUAUCAUUUUGAUCAUUUCUAAUUUAAACGGAAGGACACCCUUUGUGCAUUCUUUUCUCGUUGCUGUUUCCAACAGCAGUGGUUUAAAUGGGAAGGCUGAGACUAUAGAUUCCACCACAUCACUUGAAAUGCCAACUUGGCAGUAAUCAUUUUAUUCUUUUUAGUUCAGAACAUGUAUUUUAAAAAUGAAUGGGUAUUGACUAGUUAACAACUAGAGAUUUUUUUUCCAGGAAACAAUUUCCUAGACUUUAAACCAAAAUUUGGAGCUCAAGAAACACUAAAGAAGACAGUACUCUAUGUAAAGUAGUUAUUAAUUGGGGUUUCACUGUAGGUCUAUAUGCAAAUCUUAACUUUUAACCAAAAAAUAUAUAACAAUAUAAAGUGCAAAAAGUUUAAGCUUUACACAGAAAAUGUAUGAUACAAAAUCACUUUUAACUUAAAAGGCAGUUUAAAGUUUAUCUGUGAAGAAAGAGAAACAUUUUGUACAUAAAUCCUCCCAGUUUUCAUUGACAAUGAUGGUGUUAUUUAAGCAUCCCUGUAAUUAAAUGUCACUUUAAAAAUAAUGGACGUGUCAGGGUAUCUUUUUAAAUGGAAAAAAAGUAUAUUUUUGUAGUAUUAACAGAAGUAAUACUCAACCAAGAUUUCCCAAAUUACAGAAUAAAAUUAAUAUCUUCUUUUUUUCCCCCAGCAGUGAUCUCUUUUCUAUGAUUCCUUUUCUGUGAACAUUCAGGACUAUCUGAACGAAAUGGGACCCCCAUCUCCUGCCACUUCUGGAGAACAAACAACCCACUCAAAACCAUUUACCCAUCAUCACUGUCCAGAUCAUUGCACAGGAUUUUAAAGGAAAAAUAAGGUGAUGUUGCUGAUUUUCAGAAAUAUUUUCAGCUUCAGAUAUCUGUGAUAAAAAUGAGAAAAAAGAAGUGGAUGUUCUGUCAGAAGGUAUUGGUGAGAUAGGAGACCCAGAAUUGGGAGAAGCAGCUUAGAUGGAGAGCAACUUAAAUGGGAGAAGUGAUGAACAUGCGUGAGAAAAAAGUGACUCUGCUCCCUUUGUGAUCGGGGCGAACAUGACUAACUGAUCCAGGAAUUUGUUUCAUUUGGUCACGAAUGGGCUUUGCAAAUCCUUCCUAAUGACAUGACAGUGUCACCUACUGGCAAAGCAGGACCCUAUGAGGCAUCUAAAGGGAGAUUUAGCCAGAUAUGUUGUUUAUCAGAAGCCAGGUACUUCCUCCACUUUUCAUCCUCCCUACUUUUCCUUUCUACAGAAAUGAUUUUUUUUCAGGACAGUAAUUUAAUAAACAUACAUACUUUGUGCUCAGCACUCUACUAAAUGCUUUUAUAUACAUUAUUUCAUUCUACAUUCACCAAAGUGUAAAGAGAUAGGUGCAUUUCCAUUUUCUAGAUGAGGCUCAGAGAGGUAAAACAACUUAAACAGACAGAAAGUUGUAGAAUUAAGAAUGAUACAUGUUAGACUCCAGAAAGCAUGCUCUUUAGCUCUGUAAUAGAUCAUUCUGUCUCUUCAGUUUAAAUGCAAGGGACAUUAAUACCUCUCUAGAAUUUUACUCAAUUCUAUUGUCUUCCUCCUAAUUUACUUCUUAACUACCUAAUUCUUGAAACGGAUUAGAAGCAGAUGUAAAGAAGUGUCCUUAUUUUCUUCUAGGUAUGUCUUUGCAUUAUUGAAGUGUAUCUCAUUCUUUAGAUUGCCUAGUCUUAAAGUCCAGGUGGCUAAGUUUAUUCAAGCAAUUAAUUGGUUGAUUGAGAGGUAAAAUACUAUAAAACUGAUUGAUUGACUAGCAUGACAAGACUCCGUAUAAAAGUGGAUGUAUUUGUUCAUCCAUUACCUAUUUCUUAACAUUUUCUAGAAAAUUAAGUAGCUACAAUAUACAAAAAUAGAAUAUAGCAUAAAUAUAAAUUAAAAGAUGUAAUAAUGAAUCUACUUUUACCAGGUGUAGUCCCAGCUACUUGGAAGGCUGAGGCAAGAGGAUCACUUGAGACGUUCAAGGCUGUAGUGCACCAUGAUUGCCCCUUGUGAAUAGCCACUGAACUCCAGCCUGAGCAACAAAGUGAGACCUCAUCUGUAAACAAACAAACAAAACUGCUCCUGAAUUUCAAUGUCAAUUUAUUGUAGAAAUCUUAAAAACUUAAUCCUCCUAAAAUAAUGCUGUUUUUAGGGGCAACACAUAAUUGUGUACAAUUUCAUGUUUCUUUUGAAGUGAUAAUUAAAAAUAAUUGAAACAGUUAUUAAAGAAUAAAGACAUUGUGACAAAGAAAUGACCGGGAACCACAUAAAGCAAGAUAUUUUGUACUUUCAAAUAAUGCUGAUUUUUAGGGCUAACAAGUUUCAGUAGUAGCUUAAUAAAUAUACAUUAAGAAAUGCCCUUUCUGAAUUCCAUUUUAUGAUGUUCAAGUACAAAAAAUAUUCAUCCAUUGCGACUUUGAACUGUGAAAUGGUCAAUGAAGAGGUGAGCGGCACUUAACUUGAAGCUAAUGUCUCAUCGAAUUGUUCGAACUUCACUCCUUGGUCAUAAGGUUUUCCAGAUCCAGAGCAAGGUAGCCAUAUGGCAUUGAUAUUCGAAAUACAAAGCCAAGUAUCGGUUUUAAAAACAGUAUUAUUGAUUUUUUUCUUCUUUUCCAAUUUUCUCUUUUUGAAAUUGUGCUGCUACAAAUUUGAAUUUUAAAAUGUCUUAUUUUUCAAAUUUGUAUUGUUUCAUCUAUUGAAUGGUUUUUACUUUAAGGAAGUUCAGAAAGUUUUUAUGUUCUCAGCCAUUCUUUUUUAUAGAAAAUAUCUUAAAAACUGAAAAGCCUCUGAAAGGCUCAGGUGAACGAAAAUAGAAAAAAAAGUAUCUAUCUCACUCUUCUUUUUAAUUCCUCUUUAAUGCUUCCCUUACAAAUAUAUUGGAAAGAAAACUAUUUAGGUGGUACAAGGCUUCUCCCUGGUUUCAUUUUUCUUGCUCGUAUAUACAAUUAAUUAUUUGUGGCAGCAUUAUUUUUACUUUGGAGCCCUGAUUUCCCACAAUUAUUGGUCUGAUGGAGCUCAGACCUGUGUUUCAGAGUUAAAUACUCUUCCAAGAAUUUCCACAUUAUAAAACUCCCCAACCAGCACUAAACUGUACACAUAAAAAUUGUAAAAAUGGUAAAUUAUAUAUGCAUAUUGUACCUUACAAUUUUUUUUAUAAAAAAUAAAGAUUUUUUUAAAAAAAACAAACAAAUACCUCCUGCCCCACAAAAAAAAUUUCUCACCCCAUCCAAGUACCAGUCACUAGACUCUAACAAACAGUUCGGAAUUCAACUGGUGUCCAAAAGGUUAACAACAUUACCAAGGUGAAGGAACCAAAUCGGUAUCAUACACUGGAGCCAUGGGGAAGCUUUUGGAACUAGGAUUUCUGAGAACUUUUUACCAUAUACAGCAGGGAAAUCUUUGUAAAAAGGAGGAAAUUGGUAUAGUAUAUUCUGCUGCUGGCACGAAACGUGUUUUUACCAAACUAAAGUAUCCUGUAGUUCAAAAAUGUUAUCACAAGAUUCCAUUUGUGUAUCUAUUUAAAGUUUUGGUAUAUUUUCAAUAAAAAUUAAUAAAAAUAUUUCUUCUCAUAAUAUGUGGUUUAAAUCCAGAUUAUUUCACAAUAUGUGGUUUAAAUCCAGAUUAUUUCACUGUAAUAUGUCUUGAUAGAGUUUUAGAAUAUUGAAAUAGGGUAUUAAGAUGCUUUAAAUCGAUUACUGAUUUGAACAUUGUAAGUGUAUAUUUCUAUUUGUGUGUGUGUGUCAUAUUCAAAUAUGAUUAAUCAUGUAUGUUGGUGUGUGAACAUAUGCAUAUAUAAAGCAUUUUUAUCAGCUGUUUCUGGCUUCAUACCACAG
rnacentral:lncRNA from 1 species